rnacentral:rRNA from 1 species
UACAGAGGUCUCAAGCGUUGUUCGGAUUCAUUGGGCGUAAAGGGUGCGUAGGUGGCGGGGUUAGUCAGGUGUGAAAUCUCGGAGCUCAACUCCGAAACUGCACUCGAAACUACCAUUCUUGAGUGUCGGAGAGGAAAGCGGAAUUCCUGGUGUAGAGGUGAAAUUCGUAGAUAUCAGGAGGAACACCAGUGGCGAAGGCGGCUUUCUGGGACGGUAACUGACGCUGAGACGCGAAAGCGUGGGGAGCAAACAGG